CCCUCUCAAACUGUGCCAAACAUCUCUUUCCUCCCUUAGGUUGCUUCUAUCAGGUGCUAUGUCACAAUGACAAGAAACUAAUAGAGACACUGGAGGAAAGCCACAAUCAGGGAAGCCUGACCUGUCAUUCCAGACUCUUUAACAGUGCUAGAUGCUGCUGCCGCCACUACAUCCUGCCCUACUCACUGAGGCUGCCUGGGAAGGAAAGGGACACACGGCGAAGACGUAUCUAAAAGCACGAAAGCAUGGAGAGGGGCUGGGAGACUGGGAAGCCCGGCUUGUGCUCCUCAGACACAUCCCACUGCAGGGGCUUCGCACCACAGGUCCACCGCCAGUCACUGAUCUCACGCUUAGCUUAAGCUCACCGACUGAAGGAAGCCCUGUGGGACCCGAGGACAGGGAAGACACUGUGGUUCUGGUUUUCUAGACAGAUGAUAAGACUACAACAGCGAUUAAGUUGUCUGGGAAGAAAUUCUUGUCCAUCAGGCAUUCGAAAUGUGAGCCUAAAUACAGACGAUCCCACGGGCUCUCGCUGUAAUAACAGGGGUCAUGGGUGCAGAGACAGCAACCACACCACACAAAAAUGUUCCCGUAAAACAGACUGCCACCUUUCCCCCAAACCAAUGGCAGAGACCUGUGGAGAAAAUGUGCAUUUUCUAAGGAGCUAACAGCAGGGUAACAAGCUUAUUGUCCACAACUGUUGACCACUAAGUGGAGCCCACGCCACCACCCACUAUCUGAUGGGAAGCUCUUAUCAUAUACAAUCUAAAUAAAGACCAAAAUACUGUGA